GAUGAACGCUGACAGAAUGCUUAACACAUGCAAGUCCACUUGAACUUCGGUUUGGGUGGCGGACGGGUGAGUAACGCGUAAAGAACUUGCCUCACAGUUAGGGACAACAUUUGGAAACGAAUGCUAAUACCUGAUAUUAUGAUUUUAGGGCAUCCUAGAAUUAUGAAAGCUAUAUGCGCUGUGAGAGAGCUUUGCGUCCCAUUAGCUAGUUGGAGAGGUAACGGCUCACCAAGGCGAUGAUGGGUAGCCGGCCUGAGAGGGUGAACGGCCACAAGGGGACUGAGACACGGCCCUUACUCCUACGGGAGGCAGCAGUGGGGAAUAUUGGACAAUGGACCAAGAGUCUGAUCCAGCAAUUCUGUGUGCACGAUGAAGUUUUUCGGGAUGUAAAGUGCUUUCAGUUGGGAAGAAAAAAAUGACGAUACCAACAGAAGAAGUGACGGCUAAAUACGUG
rnacentral:rRNA from 1 species